rnacentral:rRNA from 1 species
UGGGGAAUAUUGCACAAUGGAGGGAACUCUGAUGCAGCGACGCCGCGUGAGUGAUGAAGGAAUUCGUUUCGUAAAACUCUGUUCUAUGGGAAGAAAAGGACUGUACCAUAGGAGAAAGCUCCGGCUAAAUACGUGCCAGCAGCCGCGGUAAUACGUAUGGAGCGAGCGUUGUCCGGAAUUAUUGGGCGUAAAGGGUGCGUAGGCGGCUUUACAAGUUGGAUGUGAAAUAUUGUGGCUCAACCACAAACGUGCAUCCAAAACUGCAAAGCUUGAGUUAAGGAGAGGUGAGUGGAAUUCCUGGUGUAGCGGGGGAAUGCGUAGAUAUCAGGAGGAAUACCGGUGGCGAAGGCGACUUACUGGACUUAAACUGACGCUCAGGCACGAAAGCGUGGGGAGCAAACAGG